UCCACGCCGUAAACGGUGGGCACUAGUUGUGGGGACCUUCCACGGUCUCUGCGACGCAGCUAACGCAUUAAGUGCCCCGCCUGGGGAGUACGAUCGCAAGAUUAAAACUCAAAGGAAUUGACGGGGCCCCGCACAAGCAGCGGAGCAUGCGGCUUAAUUCGACGCAACGCGAAGAACCUUACCAAGGCUUGACAUAUACAGGAAUAUGGCAGAGAUGUCAUAGCCGCAAGGUCUGUAUACAGGUGGUGCAUGGUUGUCGUCAGCUCGUGUCGUGAGAUGUUGGGUUAAGUCCCGCAACGAGCGCAACCCUCGUUCUGUGUUG
rnacentral:rRNA from 1 species